UUGGUGAGGUAACGGCUCACCAAGGCCACGAUGCAUAGCCGACCUGAGAGGGUGAUCGGCCACAUUGGGACUGAGACAC
rnacentral:rRNA from 1 species